AUGGAGGCAACUAAAGGAGACAAUGUGAUGGUAGACAUACCACAACUUCCUCAUGUCACAAAUCUGGAGCUGGAUUUCCGGUCUCUAAACAACCACAUUUUUGGUGCAUGUGUAUCUAGCAUCCUUGCGCGUUGCAGCAAUCUUCAACACCUCAGCCUAGGCAUCAACAAAUCCUACAUUCGUCGGUGUGGGGAUGUGUGCUGCAUAUGCGGAUGCGUUGGGAGCUGGAAGGAGGACAAGAUCUCACUGGAUCAUCUUCGCGAGGUGGAGUUCAACGGCUUCUCGGGGCAGGAGUGCCAUGACAUGGCACACUUGUUGCUACUGAAUUCACCGGCGCUCCAGAGGAUGUCUGUGGUCGUUGAGGUAUCUGGAGAUAUCUCAUGGGACGAUAGUUCAGAUGAUGAAAGCCCACCAUGCAAGAAAGAAAUCAUGGAGACAUCGGUGUUAACGCUUCCACACCCUAGAGGGAAGUGGAGGGCACGCGCCUCGGCUAAUGAGGCAACAUCAGAGUACGAGUGGACACCAAGGCCAUGA
rnacentral:rRNA from 1 species